ACAAUUUCCAAUUGACCUGUGACACGAACAGGAUUGUCUACCGAAGCAAACAAGACGUUUGCAUAUCGUGUCUUGCCUGGAACAAGAACCUUGACGUCGGUUAGGGCGAACUCUUCCCAGUCAUUCUCAUCUCUAAGGGAAGCGUCUCUAGCAGCGAGGACAUUCUCGAUUCGUGUUGUCAUAUCUCCAGAAACAUCAUGAUGCCUUCAGAUGGAGUUGUGAGUCGACGCGCAUUAAUGGAGGCAAGGCCUUGCUGGUUUUCGAAACGAAUGUGGAGCUAAGACUUUCCCCAAACGGUCACCGUUCCGUAUCUAUGGAAAGUCGGAAAAUCCAUUAUGUCUCCACAAUCAAUGUAAAACUAAGGAAUGGUUGGUAAUAUACAAAUGGGAGGAUACAUCAUGUAUUAUCAAUCUUUCAGAAAAUAAAAAUAUCCUAUAUUAGAUGAGAUAUUAAGGGUAUC
rnacentral:sRNA from 1 species